rnacentral:lncRNA from 1 species
GGGUUCGAAUCCCUAAGUUGGCAUUUCUAUGAUUCUAUUGUUACGACCCAAACUCCAUAUUUAUAAUGUCGUGACGUCACCUAGUCUCUACGAUUAGGUAAGCCUAACAAAUUGCGGAAAAUAACAAAACGAAAAUAAAACUUAGCAACUAACAGCAGUGGAUAACUGAAUAACUAGUAAAAAUGCCGCCUGGCAUGUACAAAUAUCAAUACUCUAUAAUUGCACAGUCUUCCCAAAACGAAACAUCGUAAGUCACAAGCUAAAGAAGGAAACUAGUAUCUCUAUACACCAGAGUCUAACAAAAGAAGUACAUAAGGUAAUUGACAUAGGGGAGAAUAGAAGGGGACUCCGAGGUCUGUGGACGCGACAGAUAUACCCUGAAGUCUCCGUACAGCAGCAAACACUCUCAGCUAAUAGCGGGGCUGAUAAGAAGUACUUGGAUCUGCACACAAAAACAUGUGCAGAAGAGUAGCGUGAGUACACUACAACGGUACCCAAUAAGUGCCAAGCCUAACCUCGGUCGAGUAGUGACGAGGUCAGGUCAGGCCCACUAGUAAAUAAUAAAUAAGGCAGGAGAAUAUAUACAGUAUAAUAAGAGACUAGAAUUUAACAAAAGGAAGCACCGGAAGGCAGUAGUACAACACACAGGAGUAAACAACAUGGUAUCUCCCGAAAUAUCGUCUCGUAGUCCCAAAAUAAAUAUAUAUGGAGAACUUCCGAGGUACCGCCUCGUAGUCUCAAAAGUAAAUAUACAGGGAGAGCUCCCAAGAUACUACCUUGUAGUCUCAAAAGUAAAUAUGCAGGGAGAACUCCCGAAGAAUCGCCUCGUAGUCUCAAAAGUAACUGUACAGGGAGAACUCCCGAGGUACCACCUCGUAGUCUCAAAAGUAAAUGUGUAGGGAGAACUCCCGAGGAACCGCCUCGUAGUCUCAAAAGUAAACACACAGUUCAAACCAGUAAAUACAACAAAUAGCAAGAUUUCUACAGUUAUACUGAUAAAGAACAAGGAAAAAUAGGAAAUCAACUAGGCAUGCUUCACAGAGUUCAAAUAAACAGUUAAAGCACGUAGACAUGCGAUAUUAGACUAAACAGGAUAACUACACAUAUUGGAAUAGCUCAAUUAAGAAUGAAAACAGACUAAUACUUAUUUAAACGGUAUAACUCAAAUGAAAGGGAAAACAGGUUGCUACUUAGUAAAAUAAAUCGGAAAAUCCCUCGCAGGUGCGGAAAUGACUUAAGGGGCUGGGUCCGCAUCUGCGAGCAAGGGACCGUACCUACGCGCCCGCUCCUACGGAUAUCUUUCAUUUCUGCGAAACCUCACGCUCCAGGCCCCGUCCGCUUCUGCGCUCCAUCUUUCGCACGUGCGAGUCUUCACCUGCGGUCUCCCCACCGCAGGUGCGAAAACACUAGAAACCAGAAACCUCAGCAAAAACACAAGUAAAAUUUUCGAUCCGUUAAGCAUCCGAAAUACACCCGAGGCCCCAGGACCUCAACCAAAGAUACUAAAAAGUCCUAAAAUACCAUACGCACUUAGUCGAGCCCUCAAAUCACAUCAAACAAUGCUAAAAUAUGAAUCACCCUCCGAUUCAAACUUAAUGAACUUGAAACUUCCAAUUUCUACAAUCGAUGCUGGAACCUAUCAAACCACGUCCGAUUGACCCCAAAUUUUGCACACAAGUCAUAUUCAACCCUAUAGACCUACUCCAACUUCCGAAAUCGGAAUCCGACCCUAAUUUCAAAAAUUUCACUACCGGUCAAAAUCUUCAAAAAUUCAACUUUCGCCAUUUCAAGCCUAAAUGAAAUACAGACCUCCAAAACAAAAUUCGGACAUACCCCUAAGCCCAAAAUCACUCAACGGAGCUAACGGAACCGAUAAAACUCUAUUCCGGAGUCGUCUUCAUACAGUUCCGACUACGGUCAAUAAUUCUAAGGCUUAAGCUUCCAUUUAGGGACUAAGUGUCCCAAUAAUACUCUGAAACCAACAACAAAACCUCCCGGCAAGUAACAUAAGCAGAAAAAGAUAUGGGGGAAGCAAUUAAUAGGGGAUCGGGGCUAUUACUCUCAAAACGACAUGCCGGGUCGUUACAUCUAUCUGCCUAUUUAUUUUUUGAAACUAAACAGGGAUCAUAUUCGGCUAUUUGACUCUCUUUUUUAAUCUUAAAACUUCUUAAUAUAAAUAACUCUUAAAAUUUGUGUAAAACCAAAUAACUUAAAAAAUAAACAACUUAUCAUAGAAGUAGUUUUUUAUUUAUAAGUUAUUUAAGAAAAAUUAUAUAUUAAAUGCCAAGCGCUACAAAAAUUUAUUUAACAAAAAGUUCUCAUAGAAAACUUCUCGAUCCUCUCUUUCUUCUGAUUCUAUGCUUACUGUCACGAUCCAAAAUUACGUGACUGGUACCUGGCACACUACCCGACCCGAGCGAACCAAACAUGACGUCUUUCAUGAAAACCAAUUUUAACUGCGGAAGCUUCUUGAAAAUCAUAUACAUUUUCAAGUUAAAUGAUAAAAUAUUUUCCAAUUCAAAAUCACACAUGACGUCUUGCAUGAUAAUAAAAAUGAGACUAAGUAAAAUAAAUAUACUUUUAUGUAUAUUGUGUACAACCCCGUUAUUACAACUUUUCACAACUAUCUAUGGAGUCUUUAUACCAAAGAACAGAAUUAAACAAUUGGGUUAAUACCCGACUAGCGUAAAUUAAGAAAACAACAUGAUAACUACCGCGAAACAGGAGUGGUGCCUUACCAUAUACCUCAGGAAGAAAGUCAUCCUAGCCCUGACCGCAUGCCACGUAUCAUACCUCAUCCUGAAAUAUGUAAAGUAAGCGGGACCCUGGAGGGAAGGCCCUAAGGGAUGAGUACACCACAUCGGUACUCAAUAAGUGUCAUAGACUCUCUCUAACUUAAGUUCUUGGGACAAACUUUAUAGAAAAAAUGCAUCAAUAUUUGAUAUAAAACGAUAAGAAAUUUUAUCAAUUCAUGAUCCUUGUCAUUUUAAAUAAAAGACAAGAAAAACAUAACCCACAAUAUAUACUUUUAAAACAUAUAUAUCAACCCAAGAUUUUGGAUAAAUUCAUACAAAAUCAUUUCAUUUGCUUUAAGUCAUUGAAAUUACUUUCGGCUCCUUAGGCCUAAACAUAGGAAAAUCAUCAUUACCUUUCACUGGGAGUACUAUACCAUCACCGACAUAAGAAGGUCAACUAGGUUAUGUACCUAGCAGAAAGUAUCAUACACCCUACUUGCUCAGGUCGUCUCAUCGUAAUGUCGUACGAAUCGACUCAGCCAUGCUAAUAAUAACAUAAAAUAGUACCCCCCCCCCCUCGAGGGAGAGCACUCUGCCGUAGUCUAUACCACAAAGUGGCCAUCUACGCCUACACCGACACGUAUAGUUUCAUAACAACGAACACAAUAUAUCUGAAGUCAAUCUCGGUGAACACAACUCCCAAAAUAUUUGAUACUUCAAAAAUAGAUUCAUAGCAUAGUAGUCUCAAAUGAUCUAUUUUUAUCAAAUCAUAGCAUUAAUAGAAAAUCAAGACAUUUGAACAAAUUUUAAAUAAAUAACCUUUUACAUAUUAAAACUUUUAGCAAUUUAACAUCAAUCUUUGAAAGAUACCGGUCACAAGUGCUAUUCUAUUUAUCAAUUUUCAAAAGAAAUACUUUUCAUGAAAACUUAUCUUUAGCACUCAAAUAUGUAUACUCUUAUCAAUACAUAAGUUUUGAUAAAAACUUAUAGUAACAUUUAUCUUGAGUGUCAUUUUGGCAACAAGAUUUAAAAUAAAAUUUUAUAAAACAACAUGACACUACAUGUGCAACGUAAUAUUUUAGUACAUGGAGACAUCUGUACUUCUUUGUCCCCACAAGCACGAAAGCACAUUUGCAAAUAACUUAAGCAUUAACUCGAAACAUGCUUUUAGAGAAUCCCUCAAAAAGAGUAAGUUUUAAUCAACUUACCUCGCUUUCGCUUUAUUAACAUUCACAAACUUUCAAUCCUCUUCCAUCGUUCCAACCUUGAUUAAAAUGCUCAAGCA